rnacentral:tRNA from 1 species
GCCGGGAUGGCGGAAUUGGCAGACGCGCUGGACUUAGGAUCCAGUGCCGCAAGGCGUGCAGGUUCGAGUCCUGUUCCCGGCACCA